GGAGCAUUCUCUCUAGACAACAGUUCACUGUCAGGUUCUGGAGCAUUCUCUCUAGACAACAGUUCACUGACAGGUUCUGGAGCAUUCUCUCUAGACAACAGUUCACUGUCAGGUUCUGGAGCAUUCUCUAUAGACAACAGUUCACUGUCAGGUUCUGGAACAUUCUCUCUAGACAACAGUUCACUGUCAGGUUCUGGAGCAUUCUCUCUAGACAACAGUUCACUGUCAGGUUCUGGAGCAUUCUCUAUAAACAACAGUUCACUGUCAGGUUCUGGAGCAUUCUCUCU